AUGGCGGCGGCGGCGGAGGGAGCGAGCUGCUGGUGGAGGAUGGAGUGCGCGAGGGAGAAAAUCGGAGGAGGUCGCUCCGGCAACGACGCGACGUCGUUGGUGAGCGAGAAGACGUGCGUGCGCUUCGGCGCUGCCGCCCAGAACGGAAGCAGGAGGGAGGAAGAGAGGGAUGUCUGGGGUUACCUUUUGGCGAGCCGAGGGAGCGUCGGCUCCUUCGGUGUCGUUGCCGCCACCGCCGCUCUGGAGAAGGGGGAGAAGGGG
rnacentral:lncRNA from 1 species